rnacentral:rRNA from 2 species
GGUAGUCCACGCCGUAAACGAUGAGUGCUAAGUGUUAGAGGGUUUCCGCCCUUUAGUGCUGCAGCAAACGCAUUAAGCACUCCGCCUGGGGAGUACGGUCGCAAGACUGAAACUCAAAGGAAUUGACGGGGGCCCGCACAAGCGGUGGAGCAUGUGGUUUAAUUCGAAGCAACGCGAAGAACCUUACCAGGUCUUGACAUCCUCUGACAACCCUAGAGAUAGGGCUUCCCCUUCGGGGGCAGAGUGACAGGUGGUGCAUGGUUGUCGUCAGCUCGUGUCGUGAGAUGUUGGGUUAAGUCCCGCAACGAGCGCAACCCUUGAUCUUAGUUGCCAGCAUUCAGUUGGGCACUCUAAGGUGACUGCCGGUGACAAACCGGAGGAAGGUGGGGAUGACGUCAAAUCAUCAUGCCCCUUAUGACCUGGGCUACACACGUGCUACAAUG